CUUAUUAUAUUGCAACUUAUUAGCACUUAGAGAAAAUUCACAGCUUUUGCUACCUCUUGUGAAAAUACACAGCAUGUAAUACUUAAUAAGAGGUAGGAUAAUUCAACAGCUUAUCCUACCUCUUGAAUUAUAUUAUAUCCUACCUCUUGAAUUAUAUUAUAUUAUAUUAUAUCAUAUCAUACCUCUUGAAUUCAACAACUUGUCCUACCUCUUGUGUAUUUUCAUAAGAGGUAGGAUAAUUCAAAAGGUAGGAUAUCUUCACAAGAGGUAGGAUAAUUCAACAGCUUUUCAGAAAAUUCACUUUUCUUUAAGUACUUAACAAGAGAUAGGAUUUUUUGUUUUUGAUGGCCGUGCUCUUGGCAUGCUUCUAAUGCAUCACAAUUCUCAAAUUUUGAUCCAACACAAAUAUCUUAUUUUUAGUAGUUUCUUUUUAUCGUUUAUUUACUUUGUGUUUGGUAAGAAACUAUCUUAGUUUGUUGUUUCCUAUUUGAAUUGGUCAUGACACACCUAUUUAAGAUAGGUUUCAAUGACACAUCUAAUUCUACUUGGUGGAUAGCUAUGGUGGAAACUGCUUGAGAUCGCCCAACAACGUUUAGGAGACGUAAUGCUAUACUUUCUCAAAAAGUGGCUAAGAGACUUCGACGCACUCGUAAGACUAAGGAUCAAGGUAGUGGAGUUAAUGAACAUAACAUGAAUGACAUAGGUGCUGCUCUAGCAAAAACGAUUGAGGUUGAAAAUGAUGGGGGCAAUCAAUUGAAUGUGAGUGACAUGAGUGAUGAUUUGGGUGAUGAACCAAUAGAUAUGGGUGACGAACCAACACACAUAGGUGAUGAUCUGGAUGAUGAACCAAUAUACAUGGGUGACUCUGAAGACCAACUAGCAGAUACAACUGAAAAAGUUAAUGAAAAUCUUACUGGACCUUUUCCUGGAGGGCCAUAUGAUCCUUCAAUUUUGAAGAGUUUUCAUUGUCACGUAGCAGCCAAAAUUUGGCAUAAUGAUGAACGUGGAAUACUUAAAUGCUUAAAUCAUGGUCUUAAAGUUGGAGAAUGGUCAUUCAACUUGGAAGAUAAUGAAUAGUCCAAAUUUCAUGGUUUAAUUAUGGAUUUGGGGUUGAUUUCUUUAGUGAGUUGCUCCCAUAAAUUUGUAAACAAAGUUGUAAUUUCGGCCUUUGUGGAAAGAUGGUAGCCAGAGACAAACACGUUUCAUCUACCGUUUGGUGAGAUGUCACCAACCUUAGAUGAUGUUAGUGUAAUCCUAGGGAUUCUAGUGAUUGGUAAAUCAGUCUCUUGCAAGAAGUUAUCAAAUGUUGACGCUGCAAAUCUGCUAGUUGAGGCUUUGGGAGUAACAAUAGAUGAGGCAAAUGUAGCGUUGAAGGUAGCACGAGGCUAGUCUAUCAAGGUAGAAUGGUUGAGACAAUGGUUUGGGUCAAUGUCUGAUGCGGACAAUGAUAAUACCAUUGAGUGUACAGCUAGAGCAUAUUUGUUAUAUUUGUUAGGUCGUACCUUAUUUGCAAACAAGACAGGCACACGUGUUCCGGUAGUGUAUUUGUCUUUUCUUACGGAUUUGCAAUCGGUUGCUUUUUAUGCUUGGGGUGCAGCCGUAUUGGCUUUUUUAUACCGGCAAUUGGGUACUACCAUAAGGUAUGCCGUAAAACAGAUGGCGGGAUACAUGACAUUGCUGGAAGCUUGGAUUUACGAGCAUUUUGUUGGUGCUAGACCCCACCCCAAUUUGGACUAUAAAGAAGAUCAGCCUUGUGUCUUUUGUUGGAUUUCUCGCACCUAAUGUGGUUCGUCAACGUCUAUUUUACAAAGGUUGCGAGAGGACCUCGACAGAUUAGAGGCCCAUGACGUAAGUGUCAAUUUUAUGUCAAUGUAUGUACAUAUUACUUGCUAUUAUUCAAUCUAAUUCAUAACUUACAUAUAAAAUUUUUACUAUUGUAGGUUAUUUGGGAUCCAUACCAUGAUAAGCGUAUUGAGCAUCAUUUUUCUGAUGUUGCUUACUAUAGUGAAUGCUUAAAAUGUAUGCACAUUGUUGAACUAUACCAUCCAGAUAGGGUACUGAGACAGUUUGGUAGAGUGCAAAUUAUUCCCUCACCUCCACUUGCUCCAGUUCGAGCCUCUAGAGGAUCCACUGCAAAACAGUACAUCAUUGCCUAUAAAUACUUGGAUAUGAUUUGAGAGAGUUGGGAAAAUCACUUCUUGUCUGAAAUAGCUCGUAGUGUUCUAGUCUUGCAUCCAUGAGAUUGUGUGCCGGGUUACUUGGACUGGUUUACUUCCAUUUCACAUGUGCAAGUUCAAAAUCCGACACAUCGUUCUAAGCAUAACCCACGCACUAAGACAUCAACUAAUUAUCGUCAACUUCAAUUCCGCAUUGACAGUGCCUUACGCAUUUCACGUUCAAUGUUCAAAAUCGGAUACAAUGAAGCAGCUCCCACCUGAGAUAUGUUACGCAAUGCUAUGAAGAAGAUAACACAAGUCUUGGAGGGCCAACAGUCCACUGAAGAACAUACACCAUCAGAGAACUUGGUGUACACUCGUCGCAGAAAGCAUGGAGCAACGUCUUAGACUUUAGUAUUUGUUGGGUUCAAAUGUUUUAAAUGUGUAUUUUGAAA